CUGGCUCAGAGCGAACGUUAGCGGCGGGCUUAACACAUGCAAGUCGAGCGAGAAAGGGGCUUCGGCCCCUGAGUACAGCGGCGGACGGGUGAAUAACACGUAGGUAACCUUCCUUUCAGCGGGGACAACGGUCCGAAAGGACCGCUAAUACCGCAUACGUUCCCUGGGACCUCGGUCCUGGGGAGGAAAGGCCCGCAAGGGCCACUGGAUGAGGGGCCUGCGUAGCAUCAGCUAGUUGGUGGGGUAAUGGCCUACCAAGGCGAAGACGCUUAGCUGGUCUGAGAGGAUGAUCAGCCACACUGGGACUGAGACACGGCCCAGACUCCUACGGGAGGCAGCAGUGGGGAAUAUUGGACAAUGGGCGCAAGCCUGAUCCAGCCACGCCGCGUGAGUGAUGAAGGCCUCGGUCGUAAGACUCUGUGGGGAGGGGACGG
rnacentral:rRNA from 1 species